GGGUCAGUAGGUUGGUCGUGCCACCGGUACGUACUGGUCUCACUGAUUCCUCCUUCCUGAAGAACCGUAAUGCCACUAAUUUGGUGUUGCGGGGAAGCAGGACUGUUACUUUGAAAAAAUUAGAGUGUUUAAAGCAAGCUAACGCUUGAAUACAUUAGCAUGGAAUAAUGAAAUAGGACGAUCGAUCCUAUUUUGUUGGUUUCUAGGAUUGACGUA
rnacentral:rRNA from 1 species